GCUAGCGUAGCUUAACACAAAGCAUAGCACUGAAAAUGCUAGGAUGGGUCCUAAAAAACCCCGCACGCA
rnacentral:tRNA from 5 species